UUAAAGGCUAAAUUCACAUUCCAAUCUCUGGUCACCAUUGUAUUUUACGUCCGACAGUGACUACAGUACCAAUAGUGACCUCCACUGAAUGUAAGGAGCUUUGAGGUAUCCCGUGUGAGGCGCCACAUAAAUAGAGAGCAUUAGAGCACGUUUCAUGAUCUGAGGAUUUCUCAAAACGCACACCGGGGAGUGUUUGAAACGUUGUUAUGUAAAACAAAAAGAAACCAAAACGUAGCAACCGAUAUUUGCAGGCCACUGUUUCCAUAAACAGUGAUGUGAUAAAUGAGGGGAAACGGAAUGGCUGGAGGGUAAAGGACCUGAGGUGAAAUGAGGAGACCUUGGUUCGCACAGUGAUGUGGAGAGUACAGCCCGAGGCUUACCAGAAGCCGAUUUAAUCAUCACAUUGACAGAGACUUGAAUAAAUACUCGAAGAGGGAAAGCAAUUACAGGGCUAUAGGAAAAGAAUAUGAAACUAGGCUGAAUCCGAAGACUGGACCCAUGCACAAGAAGCAAAUGGUCCUCUGUCUGGGCUGUAUCGUGUUAUGCUUCCCUGGCCCCAAGAUUAAUUCCAUGACGUGUUGGGAGCAGAGAGGAAACCAGCCUGACAUCCCACAGGAAACCACAAAUGAACUCAAAACGCUUGCUGACAGACUGUAACUCAGUCACCUCAAGACUGCUUUAUUUCUAGAAUAUUUUCCUAAUCAACCUGUUCAGAUAUCAGGAGGGACUUGAACACAGACCUCCUGCCUCAAAGGUACUGGAUGCCUGUGUUUCACACUUGUGUACAAACUCAACACUCACUUCUACGUUUUCACAGAACGUUUGCCCCACGUUCUUCCCUCUUUAUCUGAAGGUGCUGAUUAAUGCUGCGAUACAUGCUCACAGGUGCUGUAAUGCCAUGGCACUUUGCUCACUGUUUCAUACAGUAAGUGCCAGUUUGUGGCAACAAAGAGCAAUUUUGACGCUAGGAGGUGAGUGACUUUUUGAUUCCCCAAAGUCUGUCCGACACUUACAAGGCACAGGUCAGGAGUGUGAUGGAAUACUCCCCAUUUGCCUGGAUGAGUUCAGCUCCAACAACACUCAAGAAACCUAACACCAUCCAAGAUGAAGCACUUGAUUGGUACGCCAUCCAACACUUUCAACAUUCACACCUUUCAAUACCAACAAUCAAUGACAGCAGUCUGUACUACUCACGACAUGCACUCCAUAAACUCACCAAGACUCCUUAAGGCAGCACUUUCUAAAUCCAUGACCCUCAAUGUGGUGAUUGUAAUGAGGUCAGAUGGGUGGACUGCAUAGAAUACAAAUUCCCUGACUGGGGCUGUUAAUCUGGUCCAAUCAGGGAGCCCUGGCUGACACACACAAAAAAGGAGUGUUCAGACAAUCUGACACUCUGUGAACUGGUUCUGAGGAAACUGGACUGGUGUCGAGGACUUUGCACGUGUUAAUAAAGGGUGACAUGUUGGCAGGAUGCUGGCCUCCGUAGAGUUAUUUCAGUGGCGACAAGAGUAAUGCACAUACCUGAAGAAACAUGCUCAACACAGUCUGCUUUGAGUUGAGGUAAGCAUUUCUGGCGUCAUU